UGCUAGAGUAGCUCAGCCAGUAGAGCAUAAGACCCUCCAUCUCAGGGUUGUGGGCUUGAGCCCCACACUGGGCAA